rnacentral:tRNA from 1 species
GCCCAGAUGCAGGUGAACGAGAGCAAUUGGCUUUUAACCAAUUGGUCGCUGGUUCGAAUCCAGC